CACUCCUACGGGAGGCAGCAGUGGGGAAUAUUGCACAAUGGGCGCAAGCCUGAUGCAGCCAUGCCGCGUGUAUGAAGAAGGCCUUCGGGUUGUAAAGUACUUUCAGCGGGGAGGAAGGCAAUACGGUUAAUAACCGUGUUGAUUGACGUUACCCGCAGAAGAAGCACCGGCUAACUCCGUGCCAGCAGCCGCGGUAAUACGGAGGGUGCAAGCGUUAAUCGGAAUUACUGGGCGUACAGCGCACGCAGGCGGUCUGUCAAGUCGGAUGUGAAAUCCCCGGGCUCAACCUGGGAACUGCAUUCGAAACUGGCAGGCUUGAGUCUUGUAGAGGGGGGUAGAAUUCCAGGUGUAGCGGUGAAAUGCGUAGAGAUCUGGAGGAAUACCGGUGGCGAAGGCGGCCCCCUGGACAAAGACUGACGCUCAGGUGCGAAAGCGUGGGGAGCAAACAGGAUUAGAAACCCUUGUAGUCCC
rnacentral:rRNA from 1 species